ensembl:lncRNA
CAUCUGAUGAUGGUUCAAACAGCUCAGCUCAUACAGACCCAAGAGGAUAAAGAUGAGACCAGAUGAGUCCGAGAAACAUGAUGCUUAUCCUGCUGUCCAUCUUGCUUACAACACAUACACACUUUCUCUUUCUUUCUUUCUAUCUCUCUCUAUGACUCUCUCUCUCACACACACACACACACACACACACUUUCUCUUUCUCUCUCUCUCUCUCUCUCUCUCUCUCUCUCGUGCGCAUGCGUGAGCGUUUGUUGAGUGAGCGUGGAGAGCGCGUGGUGAGUGUGAAUGGUUUCUUUUUUCUUUUUUCAAUUCUUUAUUUAUUUGAUAAUUGUGGUGUAUCGGGUAGUGAAGUA